AGAACUUAGCAGAGAUGCUUUGGUGCCUUCGGGGAACUCUGAGACAGGUGCUGCAUGGCUGUCGUCAGCUCGUGUUGUGAAAUGUUGGGUUAAGUCCCGCAACGAGCGCAACCCUUAUCCUUUGUUGCCAGCGGUUAGGCCGGGAACUCAAAGGAGACUGCCAGUGAUAAACUGGAGGAAGGUGGGGAUGACGUCAAGUCAUCAUGGCCCUACGAGUAGGGCUACACACGUGCUACAAUGGCGCAUACAAAGAGAAGCGACCUCGCGAGAGCAAGCGGACCUCAUAAAGUGCGUCGUAGUCCGGAUUGGAGUCUGCAACUCGACUCCAUGAAGUCGGAAUCGCUAGUAAUCGUGGAUCAGAAUGCCACGGUGAAUACGUUCCCGGGCCUUGUACACACCGCCCGUCACACCAUGGGAGUGGGUUGCAAAAGAAGUAGGUAGCUUAACCUUCGGGAGGGCGCUUACCACUUUGUGAUUCAUGACUGGGGUGAAGUCGUAACAAGGUAAGCGUAGUGCU
rnacentral:rRNA from 1 species